GUGUCAGCCGCCGCGGUAAUACGUAGGUGGCGAGCGUUGUCCGGAAUUACUGGGCGUAAAGGGCGUGUAGGUGGCCUUUUAAGUCAGGCGUGAAAACCCACGGCUUAACCGUGGGCCUGCGCUUGAAACUGGGGGGCUUGAGGGCAGGAGAGGAAAGCGGAAUUCCCAGUGUAGCGGUGAAAUGCGUAGAUAUUGGGAGGAACACCAGUGGCGAAGGCGGCUUUCUGGACUGACCCUGACACUGAGGCGCGAAAGCCAGGGGAGCGAACGGGAUUAGAUACCCCGGUAGUCCUGGCCGUAAACGAUGGGUACUAGGUGUGGGAGGUAUCGACCCCUUCCGUGCCGCAGUUAACACAAUAAGUACCCCGCCUGGGGAGUACGGCCGCAAGGUUGAAACUCAAAUAAAUUGACGG
rnacentral:rRNA from 1 species